AUUCGAUUUCUGUAACCAAGGGUGAGUUGGGGUACACUAAAGACUUGUUGGACCGACUUAAAAUUGACAAUGAAAAUACAAUGAAACAACUGAACGAAUCAAGUGAAGAUCGUGAAAGGCUAGAAAAAGAAAGAUUAAAUAUCGAGAAUGAUUUGAGACUUUUGAGGUCUCAGAAUGCAGUAUUGGAAAAGUCAUUGACAGAACGGGCAAAAACAAUCGAAAAUCUGGUCGAGGAGAAGGAAAAAGGAGUGUUUCAGAUGAAUAAAUUAAGCAAAAAAUUCUCGAAAGCACAGCACGAUAAAAACGAAUUGGAAAAUGAGAUUUGGAAUCUGCGAAAUGACCUCAUGGCAUUGGAACAAGAGAGAUCAGACAUGGAGAACAACUUGAAUU